rnacentral:rRNA from 1 species
GCGGAAACGAGUUAUCUGAACCUUCGGGGAACGAUAACGGCGUCGAGCGGCGGACGGGUGAGUAAUGCCUGGGAAAUUGCCCUGAUGUGGGGGAUAACUAUUGGAAACGAUAGCUAAUACCGCAUAACGUCUACGGACCAAAGAGGGGGACCUUCGGGCCUCUCGCUUCAGGAUAUGCCCAGGUGGGAUUAGCUAGUUGGUGAGGUAAUGGCUCACCAAGGCGACGANCCCUAGCUGGUCUGAGAGGAUGAUCAGCCACACUGGAACUGAGACACGGUCCAGACUCCUACGGGGAGGCAGCAGUGGGGAAUAUUGCACAAAUGGGGCGCAAGCCUGAUGCAGCCAUGCCGCGUGUAUGAAGAAGGCCUUCGGGGUUGUAAAAGUACUUU